rnacentral:rRNA from 1 species
UACGUAGGGGGCAAGCGUUGUUCGGAUUUACUGGGCGUAAAGGGCGCGUAGGCGGCAAUUCAAGUCAGCUGUGAAAUCUCCGGGCUUAACUCGGAACGGUCAGCUGAUACUGCUUUGCUAGAGUGCAGAAAGGGCAAUCGGAAUUCUUGGUGUAGCGGUGAAAUGCGUAGAUAUCAAGAGGAACACCUGAGGCGAAGGCGGCUAUCUGGCCCGUAAUUGACGCUGAGGCGCGAAAGCGUGGGGAGCAAACAGG